rnacentral:lncRNA from 10 species
UGGGGACCCUUGCCCACCUUUCCACAGGGGUCUACGUGGGCAAUAUCGCCAGCUCCAGGAUCAUGGAUGGAGAAGGCAGAGGUUUAAUAACAACUUGGCUCAAGAAUCAAUUGGCACACAUAUUACAAAGAAUGUUUACUUGUGUGCCACCUCGUCAAUUCACCUGGCAUUUCCCCUGGGAACACCAACCACAAUUUAGGAAAUGGUCCCAUGCUAAAGGCUGUUUUUGGUAGCAAGAAGACUUGAUGGAAGAAAUGCUCAUUUGUUUCUGAGGGGAGACUCAAGCGAUGUUUCUCCAAAGCAGCUUCUUGCACCAGAGCUCAUCUCUGAUGAAAUUUUCAGUGAUCUGCAGUAGGGCUUCCAUUCAUCCUUUCUUGGGAGAAGGCUGUCUCUUUUGUUUGCUUUUUUUUUUCCUGUAAUUUUGUUCCUGAUAAGUAUGUACUUGUUAUUUUAUUUUUUAUUUUACAGAAUAGUGGGGAGAGUAUUUGGAAAGUUGUUCUUUACUAAAAUCUUUAGUUGGAUAAAACAGCAAACUGUAUACAUAUCCCUGUGCAUAUUGGGUGUAUUUCUGUAGGCUACUAUACAUGUGCAAAAAGAAGCACAUGCAAAAGGAAAUAAGGAAUGUUAAAUAAAUCUUGGUAGAAUCAUACUAAGGAGUUAUGUGGAGCAGUUUAAGAAGAAUGAGAUAGCGCUGCAUUGACACAGGAAAAUCACCGAGAUUAAGAGGGGGAAAAAAAAGAAAGUGACGUUGAAUAAAGGUACUGAAUGAUGCUGUCUAUAUAAAGAAACCAUCCAAAGUAUGUGCUUCUAUGUAGACUUAUGUAUGUAUGUAAGUGUAUAGAGAAAGAUCUGGAAGAUGAAACAAAGAUGAAACCAGUGUGAUCAGUUUGCUGUGCCUCCUUCAGAAAACACUGAGAUUAGAUGGAUGUCAUCGGAGACUUUUGCCUUAUCUAUACAGUUUAACAUUUUUUAAUAAGGAGCACAUGUAUAGUUGCCACUUAUACAAUUAGAAAAUAAAUGAAAACUUUUAAAGUGCC